rnacentral:rRNA from 1 species
UACGUAGGGGGGCUAGCGUUGUCCGGAUUUAUUGGGCGUAAAGAGCGCGUAGGCGGCCGAGUAAGUCCGACGUGAAAUCUGGAGGCUCAACCUCCAGCGGUCGUUGGAAACUACUCGGCUAGAGUCCGGAAGAGGAGAGUGGAAUUCCUGGUGUAGCGGUGAAAUGCGCAGAUAUCAGGAAGAACACCGAUGGCGAAAGCAGCUCUCUGGGACGGUACUGACGCUGAGGCGCGAAAGCGUGGGGAGCGAACAGG